UGUUUAAAAUGCAGUUUGAAUGGUAAAGUUGAGCCACCGUGGAGAUAUCAAUGUCUAAAGUCAGUUAAAGGUGCAGUAAGUGAUGCUCCGCAAAGAUUGUUGGUAUUUGAACUCACCUGCUAAACAAAGACGACGCUCGGCGUCUGAGCGACUUGGCCGAGUCUCUCCUCCCCCAGCUGGAGCCGAUCAUGUGUACAUGUGUACUAUACUGAGUGAUGACAUACUGUAAUCUACGUACCGUGCUGUUAGCCUCUACUGUUAUUCGGUUUGCUUUUUCUAACCGUUGAAGCUCGGCGUGGCGAGCGCUGCCCUCCCUGCUUGUAAAUGAGACGUCUUGAUUCGUUGAACUGCCUUCACGUUUUUUCUUUCUCCAUCUGGCGUCGUUUUUUUUUUUUUCUUUUUUUAUCAAAGCGUGCCUACUUGCCGUCCCACAGAGGGAUCCUGCUGCUGUACAGAACAUCCCAGAAUCCCCUGCAGCACCCGGCAGAGGAGCGCAUGUGCGUGUUGGUGUGUGUGUGUGUGUGUGUGUGUGUGUGUGUGUGUGUGAGUGGUGUGUGUGUGCUGCGUGCGUGCGUGCUGCGUGUGCUGCCCACAGAUUCUGGAGUGCGAUGUCCAGAUGGUUCCUAACUAUUCUCGUUGUCCCGAGCGAUGAUGACUAGAUUAUUUUAAUUUUAAGUUCGUGAUGAUUGCUGAUUAAAGAUCUUUUUGUAAACAAUGUUUUGUGUCUGACUCCUGGUCAUCUGAUUUCAUUUCUCCCUCCUGUCCACUUUUCUUUUCUUAUUCGGUUUGUUCUUGUUGUUCUGUACAGAUGAAAAUUGGACAAUUUGUUAAUAAUAAUAAAGUCUGCAAGGUUUCUA